ensembl:lncRNA
CUGAAGCGAUGGGGAUCCCUGGAGAUUUGGGGGUUAAGUCAGGGGCCAGCUACCGAUUUGACCUCUCUGAGCUUCGACUCCAUCUUCCCCCCGAAUGGGGCUAAUUAUGUCUGCAGUGGAGACUGAGCUCAUAGAGACUUUGCUGAUACCUGUUCCAGAGAGAAGCCUGGAUCUUGGGAAUCCAUCAUGCCACAGGCAUCUGUCGCUGCGUUUUAUAGAAGGACCAACAAGUCUGGGUAAGGGAAGGUCUCCUAGGAGCACUCCUGUCGUAAGAAGUGAAAAUCCUUUCUUUCUUGCCAUUACUACCUCCCCAACCCACCCCCUAGAUAUAACCAGAAUCCAAAGUGUGACAGCUUCACGCCUUGACUCUGGCCAAGAGCCAGAGUGUUUUUAAGCAACAGGACAUUUACACUCGUGACAAAAUGAACAAGCUUGCAUUUCGAUAAGCACCAUCAUGGUAGCCAAUAUUUUCCUGGGCUACGGCUAGUAAUCAAGGUAACACGGAGAGUUUCACAUGGACUAAUAAAUGAGGAGCCUUAAAAAUCAGAGAGCAGACAGGUCCACUGCCUAGCUACUGUUGGCACCCAUUGAUUUUCUGCUGUCUCCUCCAGGGGACUUUCUUGGCUAGAUGAAAGGUUGUCAGCACUGUCCGGACAUAACGGCAGGUUAUGGGGAAUGUACACCUAUGGGGAGUGUAUGUGUGUGUGUGUGUGUGUGUGCACAUCCGUGACACCAUCGAGUCUUAGCUGGAUUAUUGCAGCAGGUUCUUGACUGGCUUCCCUGUUUUCUCUCCUCCUCCCCCCUCCCCCUCCUCCUCCCCCCCCCUCCUUCUUUUCCUUCUUCUUCUUCUUUAAAAUGUUUUAAUGUUUGUUUGUUUGUUUUUUUUUUUUUUGAGAGACAGAGUGCGAGUGGGGGAGGGACAGAGAGAGAGGGAGACACAGAAUCCGAAGCAGGCUCCAGGCUCUGAGCUGUCAGCACAGAGCCUGACGUGGGCUUGAACUCCCAAUCCGUGAGAUCAUGACCUAAGCUGAAGUUAUUUAUUUUGAGAGAGAGAGCAAGCAGAGGAGGGACAGAGAGAGAGAGGGGAAGAGAGAAUUCCAAGCAGGUUCUGCACUGUCGGCGCAGAGCCCAGUGUGGGGCUCAAAUUCACGAACCUCGAGAUCAUGACCUGAGCCCAAACCAAGACUCAGACGCUUAACCAACUGAGCCACCCAGGAGCCCCAGGGCCUUCCUGCUUCUGACCUUGCCCUCCUUCAGUCUAUUCUCAACACAGCAGCCAGGAUGCUUCCUUCAAAACCCAAGUCAGGGGGUGCCUGGCUGGCUCAGUGGGUGGAGUGUGCGACUCUUGGUCUCAGGGUUGUGGGUCGGAGCCCCCCAUUGGGUGCAGAGAUUACUUAAAAGGUAAAAUAAAAUCUUAAAAAAAAAAAAAAAAAGCACCUAAGUCGCACCAUGUCACUCCUUGGACUGAAGCUCUCAUGUCAUUCUGAGCAAAAGCCAGAGUCCUCAUAGCAGGCAACAAGGCCCUACAUAAUCCAGUCCCCUUCUGCGUCCCUGAUCUCUCCUUCUAACAGCCCCACUGCUCACUGCCCUCCAGCCACAUGGGCCUCCUUGCCCUCCUCAAACUGCCAAGAACACUCCUACCUCAGGGCCUUUGCACUUGCUCUUUCCCCCACCUGGAACAUUCUUCCCAAGGUAGAAAGAAGGUAGGCAUUCCUUCAAAUGCCAUCUUAUAGGUGAGGCCUUCCCUAACCCCCCAACAUAAAGUAAGCCCUGUACACCCCAGGACUCUUUAUCCCCCUUACCCUGACUUUUUCCUAUAACACCUCUCAUAAACAGACAUGCUCCACGCUUUCUUGUUUAUUUACUGAUUUUGUAUUUC